rnacentral:tRNA from 1 species
GCCUUCGUGGUGUACUGGUCAGUACGCUCGACGCGUAACCGAGAGGACCGUGGUUCGAUUCCCGGCGAGAGCA